UCGGGUAUGGUGUAGCGGUAACAUCGCUGACUCUCAUCUGUUCUCUUCUUAUGAGGAACUUGAGAUCCCUCAGCAGCCCGGGGUUCGACUCCCCGUAUCCGAG